GGUCUCAGGCCAAUCCCGGCGCGGUCGCGCGUGAGGCGGGCGAUGGGCCCUGGACGUCGGCGGCCUGGUCCGCGCCGGCGGCCCGAGGCGGCGGCGAAGGGCGCGGGGCGGGGCCCAGAGGCACCGCAGCCAGGGCUGGGUCCACACUGAAUGCGGGGAGCCCUGGGGGUCCCGAGCGAACGCGCAGGAAAGGCCGCGUCUGGGGAAGAGGCCGCGCUUGCUGCGGGGGUCUUCAUCCGCGUAACCGCUGAGGAGGCCGGAAGGCGGCCCGCAGGAAGGAGCGACAGGCACCCUGGGGCCCCGCGGACCAGGCAGGAACUGCUGGAACAAAGCAUCGCUACUAAGGCCAGGAGGAGGGGGACUCCAGGAAUAGGAAUCUCACUGGGAAGAACUACCCCCUCCAGCCUCUGACUGAGACCCAUCAGAGCUCCCGGAAAGAAGCAGAAGAAAGCCAGUAAAGGAGCGUAUCACCCAGAGGGAGCAAGGCUUGAGUGAUUUCACCGCAUUCAGCUGACUAAAGGUCAUCCGGCUGGUGUGUGGGUGGUUUUAGGAGGAGAGUCCGGGAGCUCCUGGUAUCCUGGUCCUCUUUCCUGCGCUUCUAGGUAUGCCUUCCCAGGUUUUGACACUCUUCCAAGAACAGCAGAAAAUGAGCAAAUCCCAGAAACGUGCUGGUCAGGAGUCCGUGUCAUUCAAGGACGUGACUGUAGACUUCACCUGGGACGAGUGGCUGCAACUGACGGGCAUGCAGAGGACCCUGUACCGGGACGUGAUGCUGGAGAACUACAGACAGCCACCUGGUGUCCGUGGGGUGCUGCAUCACCAAACCAGAGGUGAUCUUCAAGCUGGAGCAAGGGGAAGAGCCGUGGCCACGAGAGGGAGAGCUCCCGGGCCGGAGGGACCCAGGUGAGUUAGGCGGUAUCAGGAAGAAGCCAAUGGGAAUCAGGUCCCAGGUUAGUUGGUUCAGAAGUUGAGACCUUUUGUCUGUGUCUCAGAACCCUGUUUAGGGGCCUUGGAGCUUUGGGAGUAAGUGAGCAGUAAGCCAGCCUCAGGUCACCUGACCCGCACGUCCGUCCGCCGCUCUCAGUACCAGCGCUCCCCUUUCCUGCCUGCCUUUUAGGGGUUGGCCAUUCUCGAGCCCAGCGCUGAAGCCUGCCUGCCCCAUCGCAGACCUUUGUUCUUGCUUCCUCCUUCUCUAGUACUCAUUUUCCCUCCAUUUCCCGGGCUGCUUCCUUUUCACUGCCCCCCAGGCAGGCGUGCGUGCAUUCCUUCUGCAGGUACUCCUAGUCCGCGCUCCGAGUCGGGGACUUGCUGGUGAACACACUCUGUCCCUGAGCUCCUAGAGCCCCCGGCUGGUGCGGGGUGGGGUAGACAUACAUAAAGAAGCCCACGUGUCCGGUGGUGGCAAGAGUGGGGGAAGAAGUGAAGCAGGCUGGCGGGAGCUAGAGAGCAGGGCGUGCUCUUUUACAAGGCGGUGGGAGAAUGCCUUUCUGAUGGAGUCGGUAAGGAAGUGAGUCCUGCGGAUUCCAGGGGCUCCAGGCAGAGGAGCAGCCAGAAGGGACAGCCACAGGGCCGAGCUCCUGCCACAUGAGUUUGGCGGAAGUGCCCUGAGAAAGGGAGGCCAGUGUGGCGGCAGGAGCACCUGAGACGGAUGCUGGCAGGAGGUGACAUCAGAGGUCGCCAGGGGCCAGAUGAUGUCUUACAGGACUUGGGAAGGGCUUUGAUUUUAUUUUGGGUGAGAUGGGUAGCUGUUAAUGGAUUUCUGCAAAAGAAUAUGUUUUAAAAGGAUUUCUUUGAUACUAUGAAGAGAAAAUUGGGGCUGGGGCAAGGGUGGUGAACACAAGUGAAAACAGAGACAGUGUGACAUGCUGGCCCCUGAAAUACCCACAGCCACCACUGAUAAGGUGAAUCUGAAUUGACUGCUCAGCCUGACAGUCUUGGUAGCAUCUUGGAGGAGAGUAAACAAGGCCGGUUAUUUAUGAGAUUUGAGGGUAUGCCUUAAGGUAUACUUUUUUAAUGCAGUGCUUGAUAACCAUUGGGUAAGAAUCAAAAUUUAAUAGUUUAGGACUUGUGGACACAGCAAGGAUUGAAUAGUCCUAGAGAACGACCAGUUCACUAUCUAUUGGAAAGGUGAGAAGUUGUUUAAAAGGGUUUUGAGGAAGUUUCCGAAGUGAAAAGUGAAAUCAUUUGCAACUUUUAUCUUCCUGGGCAUGAGCUUCCUGGAGGAGUAACAUCUGCUGAUGAAGACAGAACAGUGGUUGUGGUGAUGCAGAGUAAGCUGGGCGUUGACGGUCUCACCUCUCGACGGCGAGGCAGUGUCUGCAGUGGCUCAGUGUGACGUGAUGGUGGUAGAGGUGACGACGCGGUGCGGCUUCGUAUUGUGAGAGUGGGCUGUGCUGCUGGGCUGGAGAGAAGUGGGGAGGCAAGGGUGGCCUUAGUGACCGGAUGGCAGGUGUUUACUGAGAUGGGGGGAUGGUUCAGGGCAAGUUUUUAAGCAGUUACUUUGAGAAGUGUCAGUGAUUUGAGGUGAUUAUUAAUGAUUCCAGUUUAGAUAUUGAUGAGGCACUUGGACAUACAGAUCUGGAGUUGGAGAACAGGCAGGAGUGCAGGUUAAUUCAGAAGUCAGGUUGGAAGGUGGUGUGCGGUCAUGACAGAGCCUUGCGGGGUGGAAGUGGACAGACAGGAAAAGAGGCUGAAGCCGAGGGCCUCACCACACAGAGAAGUCACAUGCUUAAGAGAAGGAAACUGAGAGAGUACACCUGGAGGCCAAGAAAGGCACUUUUCAAGAAGGAAAGAACAAACUUCUGAUUUGAAAAUGGAAAUAUGAAGUCAGCAUUUCCCCUUUUUCUUCUUGUACACCAUCUAAAGCCACCAGGAGAUGAGAAACCAGUUGCAGACUCAUAUUUUCUACAAAUCUGAGAAAUAGCUAAACUCGAAACCAGGGCGUGAGUGGAAAAACCGUUGGAAGCAGUGAAAACUCAAGCUGUGUACCUGCGCCUUAGGGGGCUCUCCAGGAAGGAGGCGGAGGUGACUGACCCUUGGUAAAGCACCGGAGGGGGCUGCAGAGGACUGUGGCAGGAACUUCCCUGCCACCCGCUUCGGUUCUGAGAAGCGGAGGCGCGGGACUCAGGGUGGAAUCACACACAGAUGGCCUUAGCUGCAGUUUGGGGGUAAAAGAGAUUUUGCACGUGAAAACACCCAGAGAAAUGAGAGCUAAUCAGAUCCAAUGUUAAGUCCUUGGUCCUAAGCAGCCAGUGAAGGAUGCAUGGAAGUUUUCAUAAGAAAAAAAGACGAAGAGAAAAAAGAAAAGGCCAAAAAAAUUAGUUAAGUCAAGAACACUCAACCUGAAACAUAUUGUCAUAGAGAAAUAUUGUGACCAAGCAUUUCACUAUGAAUAAUUUAUAACUUAGUGAAGCAAAUGCGUUUAUGAUGCAGAAGCACAGGAUUGUGUGUCAGCACCAAAGAGAGAGAUGGGGAGACCACAGGGCAUUAUCUGAAGGCUUCCCGUUCUCAGGUACGAACCGGAAGAAAAAACAUCCCAACAAAAAGAUGUAUAAAUUUGGAAGGAGCACAGGAGCUGAAAACAGUGAAGGACCUGGAAGAGAAGCACAGGGAGUGAUCAGAAGGAGCUGGAUAUCAGGGCAAAAGUAAGUGGUCACGUGUGGCCGACUGAAAAGGGAGAUUCAGCACACACAUAAUUCAGCCCUCAGGGUACAAAGCCAAAAAUAAUUGAAUAGAACAAAUAUUUAAAGAUGUAUUUCAAGUAAAACGUGCUGGUAUGAAAGAAGACUGGAGUCUACAUGAAAAGGGCAGAGUAACUACGGGGAAACUCACUCAGAAUUGUCACCAGCAGGAUACAGCCUAGGGACGUUAAUAGAUUUUUGAAGAAAGAAGAUUCUUUUUGGUCUGCCAAAGCAAAGAAUUAAGUCAUUUUUAAAAACUUUGUUGAGGAAUAAUUGACAGAUACAAUUGUAUAUAUUUAAAGGGUACAAUGUGAUGAUUUGAUGUACACAUAUAUUGUAGAAUGAUUACCAAGAUUAAGGUAAUUAACACAUCCAUCACCUUACAUAGUAACAUAGGUAACUUGUGUGUGUGGUGAGAAUGAUUUAAGAUCUACUCUCAGCUUUCGGGGUACAAUACCAUGCUGUGCACUAGAUCCUCAGAACUUGAAUUAAAUCAUUUUUAAGAGGGAAGUAAAAAUUAAGCUGAUCUCAGACAUCAAUAGUAGCAUUCAGUGCUUUUUAAAAGCAGUGGAGAAGGAAUUACAAAAUCCUUAAGGACUAAAAGUAAAUCCCAAUAAUUUAUAUGUAGACAAAAUGUUACUCAGUUAAAGUAACAACAACAAAUUAAGUUUGAAUACACAAGAAUGCAGGGAAUAUUCUUCUCAUGAAUUCUUCUUAAAGAAUCUACUAGAAAAUGAACUGGAACCAAGAAAUGAUAAAAUAUAAUAUAGUAAAAGAUAGUUUUUGAGUACUGACUUAAAUAUUAAGCCUGAAACUAAAGUGGGAAUUGAACAGAAUAGGAUUAAAAACCAAAGGAUGUCACAUUUUAGGAUUAUUAGAUAUAAAAUUUAAAAUUUGUGUGGAGGAGCAAAGUCCCCAAAUAACCAAAGCACUUCAGAAGGCUAGGAAACACUAGGCUGGUGAGCUUGCCUGCUCAAAUCCAGUGCUAGUCAUGUGGCUGUCGUGUGAUUCUGGUGUAAAAAUACAUGGAACAGAAGUAAGAUCCCAGAACCAGCUCCAUACUGGUGGAGGUCAGUUAUGUGAGAGGACAGGCAAAGGGGAGAUUAUUCAGUAAGUGCUGUUGAGAAAAUUAUCCAUAUGGGGGGAAGUAUUUAUGUCUUUGAUCUUUAUACAAAAAUCAGUUUAAAAUAUAUAAAAUCUCAGGAAGAAAAUAUAGUGGGAUGUGUUUGUAACUACAUAAAAAUAGGGGACUUGAUGUUUGAUAUUAUGUAUUAUCAUGUAUUUACAGUCCUUAGGAAAGGGUUUCCCAAAUAGCAUACAAAUACUGUUUAUAGAAGAAAAACAGAUUAAUUAUGCUAAGAACACUCACUCAUUACAAAACACCAUAAAAAUUCAAAAGACGUGGCACAGAGUGAGAGAAAUUACUUGUAACACAUAUAACCAGCAAAGGCUUAAUGUCUAAAAUACAUUCGUGGCUUUUCUCAGACAGAAGCUGAAAUAAGGCAUUUUACAUUAUCCAUUUUACUUAGUUUCUGCUUCCUCACACUAGAAUGUCAACUUCAUGAGAACAGUUUUUUUUUCUUUCAUGUCUGUGUUUCCACUGUCUAGGAGACUGCCAGCCACAAUGUAGCAUUCAGUAAAAGUUUGUUGAAUGAUGAACUCCUACAAUUCAUAAGAAAAAGUCACCCAACAGAGAAAUGGAUAAAAGACAUACAUGAAAAGGAGACACAAAUGGGAAACAAGUGCAAGUGAUAAAUAGGAGUAUCUACAACUUCACUGGUAAUCAGAGAAAUAAAAAGUAUGACAGUGAAAUAGCAUUUUGGAUCCUCAAACUUGGCAAAACUUAAGACAUUUUACAACAGCAAGCAGUUCUGAUCACACAGUCACUCUUUGUCUGGGAGGAGUCUGUGUCAAGAUCUGGGCCUUACAGUGUCCCCUCCCUGUAAUCCUCCCCGGUACCUCAUCUGCUCCUAAGAGUUAAACUUUUCACUUCACCCAGUAAUUGAAAAAUUCCCACCUCCUCUCUCAGCCUCAUCCACUCUCUGCUCUCCAUUUUACCUGAGGUAUUCCAGUCCUUUCACUGUCAGUGUGGCAGAAACUAACCCUAAAAUCAUUUCUUCCAAAUUGUAAAUCUUCUCACAUUCCUUGUUUCCCCUUACUUAGGUUCUGACGCUUUUCUUCUGUAUCUGACAACCAUGAAAAAACACCUGCAGUACUGAUCUCUGCAUAGUUCCUCUUAUUUUUUAUUUUCCUUUGAAAACUGUCCUCUGUAGCUUUUAUUUGUACUUUCCAGUGACCUCACUCAAAACCAGAGCCUUAUUCUCUGAUGCCUUAUUUCAUUCCUCAUUGUAAGUAUAUGUGUUUAAACCUUGUUAGCCUUAUGUGAGCCUCGGGUUCCCCCUGUUACUUAAGCACCUCUUCUUAAAACAAGCAUAUCAGUCCAUGUUCAUCUCUCUUUUUGGUUGCUGUUGCUCAGAGACUCGUAAGUUCCAUUUGAUCCCACCUCCUGAACUGCUCAUACAUCCCAUGCACCUCUUCCCGAGGUUUGCCUGUCCAGAGCCUUAAGAAAGGGCUUAGGACUGUGCCUGCCACGCAGUUCAUGCUCGUGGUGCUUAUUUUACACGUCGUUAACGUUUGAGCUAAAGUUCUGGCCUUUGUUUUGAAGUGCUGCUUAAUUGCUCUAGCCGACGUUAAUCUGUUCCCUCUUAGAGUUCCUGUUUCACUUAGCAGCUGAGCCACAAGGAACUCAGAGGAUUCUUUUUAGUAUUAUUUUUAAUGGAGGUUCUGGGGAUUGAACCCUGGAGGUCGUGCAUGCUAAGCGCACGCUCUACCCCUGAGCUGCACCCUCCCCUGGAACUCAGACUUCAUCGUGUAUUGUGACACCUGACAGCAUCUCGUUAUCACCUGAGGCUUUUGCCCCACCCUUUUUUUAACUCUUCCUUAAUUUGACAUGUAAUAUAUAAUAGAUCAGCUCAUCGAUUAAUACUGAUAGACACGUUUAUUCAGAAAGCAUUUCCUAAGUACAAAGGCCUAUAUCACUUACCUGUAGAUUCCGAUUCAUAGGGUAGAUAGGUUGACUUGGGGCCAUGACUGUCUGUACUCUCUGUUUUGAAUUAAAAUGACCAGGUAACUCUGAUGCAUAAUGCUUUUUGAGGGUCACCAACUAUACAUCUACCCAGAGGGAUCAGAGGUGACGGCAGAGACAUUAAAACCUGCUGAGAGCGUGCGCUGUGGUUGCGAGAGGGAAACAGAAGUGCAUGACACAGUUUGAAGUUCAGUGCUAUCACAUACCAAGCGCUACUGGAUUAAGGUGGCCCUUUCUCCACGGUGUGUGUUAAUGAAAAGUGUAAGUGGCGCCUAUUUCCGUGUUGGAGAAAAUGCAGUUUAAGAGGCGUGAUUUGAAUAAUGUAUGUGAGGCAGGGGGAGAGAGAAAAGAUGAGAGAGAAGGGGGGUACAUUUUCUGGAGGACAUCUGAGUUCCUAGUAGAACCACAGCUGAAAAGCAGACUGCCAAGUGGACAGAUCUGUCAGACUUGUGGCUUGUGAUUGGGAAUAAAGAUUUUAAGAAGUGUGUGUUGUGUAUUUUUGAAGGAUAUCUUGAAUAACUAAUAAAAACCUUAUUUUGUC